UCAAGUGUGAGGUAAGGGCAAUUCGUGGAUGCCUUGGCGCAUACAGGCGAUGAAGGACGUGGCACGCUGCGAUAAGCGUCGGUGAGGUGUGAGCAACCUUUGACCCGACGAUUUCCGAAUGGGGAAACCCACCUAAUCCGAUUAUCUUGAGCGUGAGUAAUCACGGUCAGGGUAAUUGGAAAAAGGUAUCACUUAGCUGAAUAAAAUAGGCUUCGUGAAGCGAACCCGGCGAACUGAAACAUCUCAGUAACCGGAGGAAAAGACAUCAACCGAGAUUCCGUUAGUAGUGGCGAGCGAACGCGGACCAGGCCAGUGCUUCUAAUUCAACUAGCAGAACGUUCUGGAAAGGACGGCCAUAGCGGGUGACAGCCCCGUAUGCGAAAGUGAUGUUAGAAGACUUGAGUAGGGCGGGACACGUGUAAUCCUGUCUGAAUAUAGGGGGACCACCCUCUAAGCCUAAAUACUCGUAUGCGACCGAUAGCGAACUAGUACCGUGAGGGAAAGGUGAAAAGCACCCCGAUGAGGGGAGUGAAACAGUACCUGAAACGGAUUGCCUACAAGCAGUUGGAGCCUCUUCAUGGGGUGACAGCGUACCUCUUGCAUAAUGGGUCUGUGACUUAAUGUACCAAGCAAGCUUAAGCCGAUAGGUGUAGGCGCAGCGAAAGCGAGUCUGAAUAGGGCGAAUGAGUUUGGUGUAUUAGACCCGAAACCCGGCGAUCUAGGCAUGACCAGGAUGAAGGUGCGGUAACACGCACUGGAGGUCCGAACCGAUUAACGUUGAAAAGUUACCGGAUGAGUUGUGUUUAGGGGUGAAAGGCCAAUCAAGCCGGGAAAUAGCUGGUUCUCCGCGAAAACUAUUGAGGUAGUGCCUCGGACGAACACCCUAGGGGGUAGAGCACUGGAUGGAUGCGGGGGUCGCGAGAUCUACCAAUUCUAACCAAACUCCGAAUACCUAGGAGUGAUAUCCGGGAGACAGACGGCGGGUGCUAAGGUCCGUCGUCAAAAGGGAAACAGCCCUGACCUACAGCUAAGGUCCCCAAGUCACGUCUAAGUGGGAAAGCAUGUGGGAAUCCCAAAACAACCAGGAGGUUGGCUUAGAAGCAGCCAUCCUUUAAAGAAAGCGUAACAGCUCACUGGUCUAAAUAAGGGUUCCUGCGGCGAAGAUGUAACGGGGCUCAAGACGUGCACCGAAGCUUAGGGUGUGAUCGUUUACGAUCACGCGGUAGCGGAGCGUUCCGUAAGCCUGUGAAGCGAUCUGGUAAUGGGUCGUGGAGGUAUCGGAAGUGCGAAUGCAGACAUGAGUAGCGAUAAAAAGGGUGAGAUGCCCUUUCGCCGAAAGACCAAGGGUUCCUGCGCAAGGCUAAUCCGCGCAGGGUGAGCCGGCCCCUAAGACGAGCCCGAAGGGGGUAGUCGAUGGGAACCACGUUAAUAUUCGUGGGCCUGGUGGUGUGUGACGGAUGGUGUGUGUUGUAUGCUCUUAUCGGAUUGAGCAUGCUUCGAAGCUGUCCCGGGAAAUAGCCCCACCGUAUAGACCGUACCCGAAACCGACACAGGUGGUCAGGUAGAGUAUACCAAGGCGCUUGAGAGAAGUGUCCUGAAGGAACUCGGCAAAUUGCCUCCGUACCUUCGGAAGAAGGAGGCCCUCACAUUGCGCAAGCAGUAUGAGGGGGCACAGGCCAGGGGGUAGCGACUGUUUAGCAAAAACACAGGGCUCUGCUAAGUCGGCUUCAAGACGACGUAUAGGGCCUGACGCCUGCCCGGUGCCUGAAGGUUAAGUGGAGGGGUGCAAGCUCCGAAAUGAAGCCCAGGUAAACGGCGGCCGUAACUAUAACGGUCCUAAGGUAGCGAAAUUCCUUGUCGGGUAAGUUCCGACCUGCACGAAUGGCGUAACGACUUCCCCACU
rnacentral:rRNA from 1 species